CUCUAUUCAACCCAAUUCCUAAAGGCUUCUGGGAUGCCUCAGCUGAGUGUGAUGAGGCAACUGAGGAGCCUCAGAGAGCAGCCAAUGUUCUAAAGUGAUGCUUCCUGACCUCAUGCUGCAGCUGUGCUGGCAGCCUUGUGCAGAAGCUCUCGGGUAAGGACAGAGGUGAGGAGCUCGGGGGCAGCCCUGCUGCUGCUGAAUUGCACAGAGAUUUACAAGCCCAGCAGAGACGUAUGGAGAAGUUCUGCCUUCCCAAGAAGUCGUGUACAAACAGCUGGAGUUCCCGUGUGGGAUUGUGCUGGCUGCCAAAGACGCAGUGCCAGGAUCUGCUCUUCUCAGCGGAGCGCCUUCCUCUGCAGGCCAGUCGUGAUGCUCUUCUUCUUGUGAAACCACUCAGCUCAGCCAUCUCAGGGGGCUCCGAUGUGACAGAGCUGAACACAACAGUGACUGAGAUCUCACCGAGUUCAGGGCGUGCUGGAAUGAAUCCUGGGAAAAAAGGAAAACCAAAAGAAUGAAAGUCUUCCUGUCCUCAGUAAGAGAUCAGGUCCCGCAGUGCUGACCGCCCAGGCGGGGUGCAGCCACUCUGCAGGUAGGAUGCCGUGAACUGGGAGAAGCCAAGGACGAGAAAUAAUGUUAGGCACGUCCAGUGUAAACUAAGGGAGUGAAUCACACGAGAGGUACGAAGCCACAUUGUGAGGGAGCCAGGUCUUCCAUCAGGAGCACUUCUGCCCUUGUCUCCCUCCGUCUCAGCCUGGCCAGUAAUGCACAGGUCACUGAGCUGAUGGCUGUGCCUCCAAGGGAUGGCAAUCACUCAGUGACUUUCCUGCGUGCUACAACAAGCCAGAACUUUGGGAGUCAGCUCUCCUUUACGACUGGCUGAGGACUCCGUACCUGGUUAUCCCGAGGCCAACAGCCUCAGAAACCCUGCUAGCUCUGUCACCUCCCCAUGUCUCAGGGAGCUGAGGCUGCGAAACACUGCCUACCAGCAGGGAGUGAGAAGUGAGAGAUAAUUCCCUACUUGUCUCUCUUGCUCUUCUUUCUUUUCUUUCACAGGGCACAAGAGACACUGGAGAGCUUGAAAAUUACCGUCAAACAGAACAAAGUCUGUGAUGUGCAAUUUUUGCAGGUAGCGUUAGCUAACGAAGGCUGUCCUGCUGCUAGGCAAGUGAAGGAUUCCUUGGCAGUUUGCUUGGAAAACAGAGAAGAACAACAAAGCUUGGAACGCGCCGCAGACCUGCAGCUGGGGCAGGGCACUGGGCUGGGGGAGGAGCACCUGCUCUGUGAGUUCAGUGGCUUGCAGGCAAGGUUCACUCAUAACAUCACAUGCUGUCUUCUCCUCCUCUUUGUUUUGUGCUGUCUUUCUGCACGGUCUGGCAGUACGGUGUGAGAUGGAAAAAGGGAGGGGAUGCAGAGCACAGCGAUGAAUUAAUUGCGUUUGCUCAGGCACAAGAUGAACUGUCCAACUCAAAUCACUGUCAUUUCGCAGACCAUGGUGUGCAGAGGCCCUGGGGUUGG
rnacentral:lncRNA from 1 species